GGGAGGAGUCGCGGAGGGCGCCGCGGGGCGGUCAAGGGCGGCCGCGCGCGCAGGUCAGCUCCAGGCCCAGAAAAGCAGCAAAACCAGACAAGUGACAAGUGGCUGCCUCAGGACCAGCUGCAGUGACUGAUGACCCCCUGCCCUGGCGCUGACCAGUCAGUGGAGAUCACGGCCCUGAAAAAGCUCCCCUGGAAAGCUGAUGGAUAUUCUAUUGAGACCCUCUCCUGAGAGCUCCCCUAAGAUUCCCACCUGCAAGAUAGAAGUACAGGAGGAUGGAGGACCCAUCCCCAUUGAGAACUCUCCUCCCGGGAGCAUGCCAGGGCCUUUCCCUUGCCCCUACUUCCCUCUAAGGCAGUGGUUCUCAACCUUCCUAACGCCGCGACCCUUUAAUACAGUUCCUCAUGUUGUGGUGACCCCCAACCAUAAAAUUAUUUUCG